UACGUAGGGUGCGAGCGUUGUCCGGAAUUAUUGGGCGUAAAGAGCUCGUAGGCGGUUUGUUGCGUCGGCUGUGAAAUCCCGAGGCUCAACCUCGGGUCUGCAGUCGAUACGAGCAAACUAGAGUGUUGCAGGGGAGACUGGAAUUCCUGGUGUAGCGGUGAAAUGCGCAGAUAUCAGGAGGAACACCGGUGGCGAAGGCGGGUCUCUGGGCAACAACUGACGCUGAGGAGCGAAAGCUAGGGGAGCAAACGGG
rnacentral:rRNA from 1 species